rnacentral:rRNA from 1 species
CUCCAGACUCCUACGGGAGGCAGCAGUGGGGGAUAUUGCACAAUGGGGGAAACCCUGAUGCAGCGACGCCGCGUGGGCGAAGAAGCGUCUCGGCGCGUAAAGCCCUAUCAGCAGGGAAGAAAAUGACGGUACCUGAAGAAGAAGCCCCGGCUAACUACGUGCCAGCAGCCGCGGUAAUACGUAGGGGGCAAGCGUUAUCCGGAUUUACUGGGUGUAAAGGGGGCGCAGACGGCGAUGCAAGCCAGGUGUGAAAGCCCGGGGCCCAACCCCGGGACUGCUUUUGGAACUGCGUGGCUGGAGUGCAGGAGGGACAGGCGGAAUUCCUGGUGUAGCGGUGAAAUGCGUAGAUAUCAGGAGGAACACCGGCGGCGAAGGCGGCCUGCUGGACCGUGACUGACGUUGAGGCUCGAGAGCGUGGGGAGCAAACAGGAUUAGAUCCCCGUGUA